rnacentral:ribozyme from 14 species
ACAUGUAAAGUGGACACGAUAGUCACGGCAGUAAUCGCUCGAUGUAUUGUCAUUUUUCUUUCUUUCUCUCUCCGCCCUUUUUUUCUCUGUUCCUCUUUCUCUCUCCUAGCCAAUGAGGGCUAUGGUGGUUGACACUAACUACUGCAAGA